GUUCUCUUCCAUGACACUUUGGCUCCAAAUUUGAACGGCGGGAUUUUGUUGAAAAUCUGCACAGUCGCGUCUUCAAGUUGUCUUGAAUCUUUUCUCCUAGUCGUUUCUAUUUAAAGAAAAGCCAUUUGUAUCCACCAUGAAAAGAAGCUGUCCUAGGGCGCGGAUCCGGGCUGUUGUAAAGAGACACCAGCCGAAUGCUAAGAUGAGCAGGAAUGCAGAACUUGUCGUGUUCCUGAGCUACAUGUUGUUCCUGAAGCGGCUAGCGGCUGCCUCGUGUGUGGAAGCCCAGCAGGACAGACAGAAGGUUGUGACAGGACAGCAUGUCAAUAAAGUCCUUAAGAGUGUCCUAAAGGCAAGCAAAGGGUGAUGCUGACCACCAGAAAAUACAACACAGGAAUAUGCUGCCAUUACUUUAUGUACAGGCCCAUGAGAGCCAUGCCUUUCAACUUCAAGGGAAUAGACCAAUCGGAUCCUGAUUAUCCAUCACAAUAAGUUAUUAGAAAAUCAACCAAUGAGACUAUCUACAUGUCUGUCAAAUGUAUUUGCAUUUUCAUAAAUCUAUAUGUUUUGAAUUUGACAGAGGUCUAUGUAAGGGCUAUGGGAUCAGUCUACUCAUUCAGCUGGUUCCUAGGUGUUAUCCUUCUUCCUAUAUGUCUAUAAUUAUACCAAGUUUUUACAAAGGUUCAUCAACAAUAUUCAAUCACUUAAUCACUUAAUGUCACCAGAAACACACCAGGAUAAAGCUACAUAUAUCACUCACUCACUAAAUAGUAUAUCAGCUUGUCUUAGUUUUUUAUAAACAGUAUAAAACAUAUACGAAAUUUGCUCAUUUUGUACAAUUCA